UCAGAAUCACUCUAUGUUGCACUGCGGAGUCUGAUUGGCUAUGUGUAUCCGUCGCUCACAGUUAGGCUCAAUGGACUCUACAAAAGGGAGGAACUCUGGGUCUUGGCCUGAGAAACCGCCUCCAAAAGAAAUGCCACGGCACGAUUGGUGAAAAUAAUGCUGUAGAGACAAGGAGCGUAUCAGCGGCAAGGGAAGGCGGGCACUUCAACUAAGAGUGCCCAAUCACAGAGGUGAGUUGUUUCUAUAAAAGGUUGAGCCUAGCGUUCUUCCAUCCUUUCGUGGUGUGGGCGAGUUGGUUCCGUUCCUGUUGUGAUUUGUUACAAUUCCGGGAGUAGCUGGGCUUCGUGUGGAACUUUGGCGGUAGCCUGAUCCCUGCAGACUAGCCAGACCCCCGGAUCCAGUCUUGGCCUGAACUCAUCUUGGCCCUGAGAGUUUAAACGUACCUUCCCGAAUUUCAGACCUUCAGCGCCCUACAGGGUUGUCGUGACCCGGCAGCAGACCUCGAAUCUGAAUUAAUCUCAACGAGGAGGCCCAGCGGACAGGAAAACUUGAUGGUAAGGCAGCUACUGUGUGUGUCUGAGCUGCUUAACAAUAAAGCAAAGGCAGUGAGUUGA